rnacentral:rRNA from 1 species
UACAGAGGGGGCAAGCGUUAUUCGGAAUUAUUGGGCGUAAAGGGCGCGUAGGCGGCCUGGCAAGUGGAAGGUGAAAUCCCUCGGCUUAACCGAGGAACUGCCCUCCAAACUGCUUGGCUUGAGUCCGGGAGAGGUGAGUGGAAUUCCCAGUGUAGCGGUGAAAUGCGUAGAUAUUGGGAGGAACACCAGUGGCGAAGGCGGCUCACUGGACCGGAACUGACGCUGAGGCGCGAAAGCGUGGGGAUCAAACAGG